AUUGAACGCUGGCGGCAGGCCUAACUCAUGCAAGUCGAUCGAGCGGCGGACGGGUGAGUAAUGUAUGGGGCUCUGCCCGAUUGAGGGGGAUAACUACUGGAAACGGUGGCUAAUACCGCUUACUAUCGGAUGUACCCAUAUGGGAUUAGCUAGUAGGUGGGGUAAUGGCUCACCUAGCCGACGAUCUCUAGCUGGUCUGCGAGGAUGAUCAGCCACACUGGGACUGAGACACGGCCCAGACUCCUACGGGAGGCAGCAGUGGGGAAUAUUGCACAAUGGGCGCAAGCCUGAUGCAGCCAUGCCGCGUGUAUGAAGAAGGCCUUAGGGUUGUAAAGUACUUUCAGCGGGGAGGCGUUACCCGCAGAAGAAGCAACGGCUAACUACGGGCCAGCAGUCGCGGUAAUUC
rnacentral:rRNA from 1 species